UACGUAGGGACCAAGCGUUGUUCGGAUUUACUGGGCGUAAAGGGCGCGUAGGCGGCGCGGUAAGUCACUUGUGAAAUCUCUGAGCUUAACUCAGAACGGCCAAGUGAUACUGCAGUGCUAGAGUGUGGAAGGGGCAAUCGGAAUUCUUGGUGUAGCGGUGAAAUGCGUAGAUAUCAAGAGGAACACCUGAGGUGAAGACGGGUUGCUGGGCCAACACGUGACGCUGAUGCGCGAAAGCCAGGGGAGCAAAACGGG
rnacentral:rRNA from 1 species